rnacentral:rRNA from 1 species
CCUACGGGUGGCAGCAGUGAGGAAUAUUGGUCAAUGGGCGCAAGCCUGAACCAGCCAAGUCGCGUGAGGGAUGACGGUCCUAUGGAUUGUAAACCUCUUUUGUCGGGGAGCAAGGCCCGCCACGUGUGGCGGGAAGGAGAGUACCCGAAGAAAAAGCAUCGGGUACUCCGUGCCAGCAGCCGCGGUAAUACGGAGGGUGCGUGCGGUAGCCGGAUUUAUUGGGUUUAAAGGGUGGGUAGGCGGAGGUUAAAGUCAGCGGUCAAAAUGCGGGGCUCAACCCCGUACAGCCGUUGAAACUGCAUCCCUUGAGAGCGCGAGAAGUAUGCGGAAUGCGUGGGGUAGCGGUGAAAGGCAUAGAUAUCACGCAGAACUCCGAUUGCGAAGGCAGCAUACCGGCGCGCAACUGACGCUCAUGCACGAAAGCGUGGGUAUCGAACAGGAUUAGAUACCCUGGUAGUC